GUUGUAUGGUUAAGUGACUAAGCGUACACGGUGGAUGCCUUGGCAGUCAGAGGCGAUGAAAGACGUAGUAACUUGCGAUAAGCCCAGAUUAGGUAGUAACAACCAUUUGAGUCUGGGAUUUCUGAAUGGGGAAACCCACGUGCAUAAGCACGUAUCCUUACCUGAAUACAUAGGGUAAGGAGGCGAACCGGGGGAACUGAAACAUCUAAGUACCCCGAGGAAAAGAAAUCAACCGAGAUUCCGAAAGUAGCGGCGAGCGAAAUUGGACUAGCCCUUAAGCUUUACACGCGUUAGACGAACGGUCUGGAAAGUCCGACGAUACAGGGUGAUAGUCCCGUAGUUGACGACGUGUGUUCAGUGAAAUCGAGUAGGGCGGGACACGUGAUAUCCUGUCUGAAUAUGGGGGGACCAUCCUCCAAGGCUAAAUACUACUGACUGACCGAUAGUGAACCAGUACCGUGAGGGAAAGGCGAAAAGAACCCCUGUGAGGGGAGUGAAAUAGAACCUGAAACCGUGUACGUACAAGCAGUAGGAGCAGGCUUUGUCCUGUGACUGCGUACCUUUUGUAUAAUGGGUCAGCGACUUAUAUUCAGUGGCAAGGUUAACCAUCUAGGGGAGCCGUAGGGAAACCGAGUCUUAACUGGGCGUUCAGUCUCUGGAUAUAGACCCGAAACCAGGUGAUCUAGCCAUGGGCAGGUUGAAGGUUGAGUAACAUCAACUGGAGGACCGAACCGACUAAUGUUGAAAAAUUAGCGGAUGACUUGUGGCUAGGGGUGAAAGGCCAAUCAAACCUGGAGAUAGCUGGUUCUCCCCGAAAGCUAUUUAGGUAGCGCCUCGGACGAAUACUACUGGGGGUAGAGCACUGUUAAGGCUAGGGGGUCAUCCCGACUUACCAACCCUUUGCAAACUCCGAAUACCAGUAAGUACUAUCCGGGAGACACACGGCGGGUGCUAACGUCCGUCGUGGAGAGGGAAACAACCCAGACCGCCAGCUAAGGUCCCAAAUUACUACUAAGUGGGAAACGAUGUGGGAAGGCUCAGACAGCCAGGAUGUUGGCUUAGAAGCAGCCAUCAUUUAAAGAAAGCGUAAUAGCUCACUGGUCGAGUCGGCCUGCGCGGAAGAUGUAACGGGGCUAAGUAGUAAACCGAAGCUGCGGCAAUACUCUUUGAGUAUUGGGUAGGGGAGCGUUCUGUAAGCGGUUGAAGGUGUGUGGUAACGCAUGCUGGACGUAUCAGAAGUGCGAAUGCUGACAUGAGUAACGAUAAAGGGGGUGAAAAACCUCCUCGCCGGAAGACCAAGGGUUCCUGUCCAACGUUAAUCGGGGCAGGGUAAGUCGACCCCUAAGGCGAGGCCGAAAGGCGUAGUCGAUGGGAAACGGGUUAAUAUUCCCGUACUUCUUACAAUUGCGAUGGGGGGACGGAGAAGGCUAGGUGGGCCUGGCGACGGUUGUCCAGGUUCAAGUGCGUAGGCUUGAGAGUUAGGUAAAUCCGGCUCUUUUUAAGGCUGAGACACGACGUCGAGCACCUACGGGUGUGAAGUCAUUGAUGCCAUGCUUCCAGGAAAAGCCUCUAAGCUUCAGAUUGUAAGGAAUCGUACCCCAAACCGACACAGGUGGUCGGGUAGAGAAUACCAAGGCGCUUGAGAGAACUCGGGUGAAGGAACUAGGCAAAAUGGUACCGUAACUUCGGGAGAAGGUACGCUCUUGAUGGUGAAGUCCCUUGCGGAUGGAGCUGACGAGAGUCGCAGAUACCAGGUGGCUGCAACUGUUUAUUAAAAACACAGCACUGUGCAAAAUCGUAAGAUGACGUAUACGGUGUGACGCCUGCCCGGUGCCGGAAGGUUAAUUGAUGGGGUUAGACUUCGGUCGAAGCUCUUGAUCGAAGCCCCGGUAAACGGCGGCCGUAACUAUAACGGUCCUAAGGUAGCGAAAUUCCUUGUCGGGUAAGUUCCGACCUGCACGAAUGGCGUAAUGAUGGCCACGCUGUCUCCACCCGAGACUCAGUGAAAUUGAAAUCGCUGUGAAGAUGCAGUGUACCCGCGGCUAGACGGAAAGACCCCGUGAACCUUUACUACAGCUUGGCACUGAACAUUGACCCUACAUGUGUAGGAUAGGUGGGAGGCUUUGAAGCACGUACGCCAGUAUGUGUGGAGCCGUCCUUGAAAUACCACCCUUGUAGUGUUGAUGUUCUAACGUCGACCCCUAAUCGGGGUUGCGGACAGUGCCUGGUGGGUAGUUUGACUGGGGCGGUCUCCUCCCAAAGAGUAACGGAGGAGCACGAAGGUGGGCUAAUCACGGUUGGACAUCGUGAGGUUAGUGCAAUGGCAUAAGCCCGCUUGACUGCGAGAAUGACAAUUCGAGCAGGUGCGAAAGCAGGUCAUAGUGAUCCGGUGGUUCUGAAUGGAAGGGCCAUCGCUCAACGGAUAAAAGGUACUCCGGGGAUAACAGGCUGAUACCGCCCAAGAGUUCAUAUCGACGGCGGUGUUUGGCACCUCGAUGUCGGCUCAUCACAUCCUGGGGCUGAAGUCGGUCCCAAGGGUAUGGCUGUUCGCCAUUUAAAGUGGUACGCGAGCUGGGUUUAGAACGUCGUGAGACAGUUCGGUCCCUAUCUGCCGUGGGCGUUGGAAGAUUGAAGGGGGCUGCUCCUAGUACGAGAGGACCGGAGUGGACGAACCUCUGGUGUUCGGGUUGUGUCGCCAGACGCAUUGCCCGGUAGCUAAGUUCGGAAUCGAUAACCGCUGAAAGCAUCUAAGCGGGAAGCGAGCCCUGAGAUGAGUCUUCCCUGAUACUUUAAGUAUCCUAAAGGGUUGUCGGAGACUACGACGUUGAUAGGUCAGGUGUGUAAGUGCUGUGAGGCAUUGAGCUAACUGAUACUAAUUGCCCGUGAGGCUUAACCAUACAACACCCAAGGGGUUU
rnacentral:rRNA from 1 species